rnacentral:rRNA from 1 species
AGUGAACGCUGGCGGUAGGCCUAACACAUGCAAGUCGAACGGCAGCACAGUAAGAGCUUGCUCUUACGGGUGGCGAGUGGCGGACGGGUGAGGAAUACAUCGGAAUCUACUUUUUCGUGGGGGAUAACGUAGGGAAACUUACGCUAAUACCUCAUACGACCUACGGGUGAAAGCAGGGGAUCUUCGGACCUUGCGCGAUUGAAUGAGCCGAUGUCGGAUUAGCUAGUUGGCGGGGUAAAGGCCCACCAAGGCGACGAUCCGUAGCUGGUCUGAGAGGAGGAUCAGCCACACUGGAACUGAGACACGGUCCAGACUCCUACGGGAGGCAGCAGUGGGGAAUAUUGGACAAUGGGCGCAAGCCUGAUCCAGCCAUACCGCGUGGGUGAAGAAGGCCUUCGGGUUGUAAAGCCCUUUUGUUGGGAAAGAAAAGCAGCAGGUUAAUACCCCGCUGUUCUGACGGUACCCAAAGAAUAAGCACCGGCUAACUUCGUG